rnacentral:rRNA from 1 species
UACGUAGGCAGCGAGCGUUGUUCGGAAUUACUGGGCGUAAAGAGUGUGUAGGCGGUGCUCUAAGUUCGGUGUGAAAUCUCCUGGCUCAACUGGGAGGGUGGUCGCGAGACGGCUGGGCUUGAGGCUCGGUGAGGGGCGUGGAAUUCCGGGUGGAGCAGUGAAAUGCGUAGAGAUCCGGAGGAACACCGACGGCGUAGGCAGCGCCCUAGACGAGACCUGACGCUCAGGCACGAAAGCGCGGGGAGCGAACAGG